AUAACCAGUUGCUUCGCAGGGCGCAGCAUUAUACGACCGCAGAGGUUGAACCCUGAACGGUUGGGGCAAGUAUGGACACAACAUUCAAGCUGGAUUCAGCUCUAAAUUUGGAUUGUGAUUAAAUAGUUGACACAGCAUAGGUUUCUGACACAGAAUGAAUGUGGUCUAAUGAACUUAAACAUAAAUUUUUGCCUUUGAGCAAUUCACUAUGCUGUUGAAUAUUAAUCCUCUCAAAAAAAUGUUUGAAGAAAUUUUCU
rnacentral:lncRNA from 1 species